rnacentral:sRNA from 1 species
GUAUAAUCGCAUCGUUUCUCUAGUUUUCGCCCCAAGGACUUCCAGUGGAACCCAUCCGGCGGUGAGAUGGGUUGUCUGAUCCAGCCAUUGAACUUAUCGGUCAUCAAUGUGACCGAAAUCAUCAUCCACCGUAAACAAAACAUAACAGAAAGAUAAAAUUAAGCUGCUAAAUCAUUGUAAAAGCAUGGCAGCAGAUCUGAUUAACCGACCCUCCCCGGGCUCGGCUUCGCGAUCCUUUGUUUGUCUUUGUCCUCGCAGGUCCUUUCAUUCAACCUUGAGCGAAAUUGGGUCCAUCAGUCAGGAACGUCGUAGUUAGCCUCUCUCCAUCAAGAUCCAAUCUCCACCAAGAUCCAAUAGGGGUCCCAACCUUCGCGGUGGUCUCGCCAACCAUAGCCCGAUAUAUACCUGAAGUUGUACCCGUCAGUAUACCGCACCGAUAACGUGUAGGAUAAUAGGAGAGUGAAGAAUGAAUAAGGGUUGAAACAUUGGCUGCAAGCUUGCAAAGCGCAGUGCAG